rnacentral:tRNA from 1 species
GCCUGGGUAGCUCAGACGGUAGAGCAUCAGACUUUUAAUCUGAGGGUCCAGGGUUCAAGUGCCUGUUCAGGUGGUUCCA